GCGCAGGAAGCAAGCUGAUCCCCUUCGGGGGUGACGCUUGUGGAAUGAGCGGCGGACGGGUGAGUAACACGUGGGCAACCUGCCUGUAAGACCGGAAUAACCCCGGGAAACCGGGGCUAAUGCCGGGUAACACCUUCCCUCGCAUGAGGGAGGGUUAAAAGAUGGCUUCUCGCUAUCACUUACAGAUGGGCCCGCGGCGCAUUAGCUAGUUGGUGAGGUAACGGCUCACCAAGGCAACGAUGCGUAGCCGACCUGAGAGGGUGAUCGGCCACACUGGGACUGAGACACGGCCCAGACUCCUACGGGAGGCAGCAGUAGGGAAUCUUCCGCAAUGGACGAAAGUCUGACGGAGCAACGCCGCGUGAACGAUGAAGGUCUUCGGAUCGUAAAGUUCUGUUGUUAGGGAAGAACAAGUGCCGUGCGAAUAGAGCGGCACCUUGACGGUACCUAACGAGGAAGCCCCGGCUAACUACGUGCCAGCAGCCGCGGUAAUACGUAGGGGGCAAGCGUUGUCCGGAAUUAUUGGGCGUAAAGCGCGCGCAGGCGGUUCCUUAAGUCUGAUGUGAAAGCCCACGGCUCAACCGUGGAGGGUCAUUGGAAACUGGGGAACUUGAGGACAGAAGAGGAGAGUGGAAUUCCACGUGUAGCGGUGAAAUGCGCAGUAC
rnacentral:rRNA from 1 species